rnacentral:rRNA from 1 species
GUGGGGAAUUUUGGACAAUGGGCGCAAGCCUGAUCCAGCAAUGCCGCGUGCAGGAUGAAGGCCUUCGGGUUGUAAACUGCUUUUGUACGGAACGAAAAGCCCUGGGUUAAUACCCUGGGGUCAUGACGGUACCGUAAGAAUAAGCACCGGCUAACUACGUGCCAGCAGCCGCGGUAAUACGUAGGGUGCGAGCGUUAAUCGGAAUUACUGGGCGUAAAGCGUGCGCAGGCGGUUUUGUAAGACAGAGGUGAAAUCCCCGGGCUCAACCUGGGAACUGCCUUUGUGACUGCAAGGCUAGAGUACGGCAGAGGGGGAUGGAAUUCCGCGUGUAGCAGUGAAAUGCGUAGAUAUGCGGAGGAACACCGAUGGCGAAGGCAAUCCCCUGGGCCUGUACUGACGCUCAUGCACGAAAGCGUGGGGAGCAAACAGGAUUAGAAACCCUUGUAGUCC